rnacentral:rRNA from 1 species
GACGAACGCUGGCGGCGUGCUUAACACAUGCAAGUCGAACGGAAAGGCCCUGCUUUUGUGGGGUGCUCGAGUGGCGAACGGGUGAGUAACACGUGAGUAACCUGCCCUUGACUUUGGGAUAACUUCAGGAAACUGGGGCUAAUACCGGAUAGGAGCUCCUGCUGCAUGGUGGGGGUUGGAAAGUUUCGGCGGUUGGGGAUGGACUCGCGGCUUAUCAGCUUGUUGGUGGGGUAGUGGCUUACCAAGGCUUUGACGGGUAGCCGGCCUGAGAGGGUGACCGGCCACAUUGGGACUGAGAUACGGCCCAGACUCCUACGGGCGGCAGCAGUGGGGAAUAUUGCACAAUGGGCGGAAGCCUGAUGCAGCAACGCCGCGUGCGGGAUGACGGCCUUCGGGUUGUAAACCGCUUUCGCCUGUGACGAAGCGUGAGUGACGGUAAUGGGUACAGAAGCACCGGCUAACUACGUG